rnacentral:tRNA from 1 species
GAGGGUAGAGCUCAGUGGUAGAGCCCAUGCUUAGCAUGUGGGAGGUCCUGGGUUCAAUUCCCAGGACCUCCA